rnacentral:rRNA from 1 species
AGCAGCCGCGGUAAUUCCAGCUCCAAUAGCGUAUAUUAAAGUUGUUGCAGUUAAAAAGCUCGUAGUUGAAUUUCGGGGUCAGUAGGUUGGUCGUGCCACUGGUAUGUACUGGCUUCACUGAUUCCUCCCUCUUGUAGAACCGUAAUGCCAUUAAUUUGGUGUUGCGGGGAAACAGGGACUGUUACUUUGAAAAAAUUAGAGUGUUUAAAGCAGGCUAACGCUUGAAUACAUUAGCAUGGAAUAAUGAAAUAGGACGUUUGAUCCUUAUUUUGUUGGUUUCUAGGAUUGACGUAAUGAUUAAUAGGGAUAGGUUGGGGGCAUUAGUAUUCAAUUUGUCAGAGGUGAAAUUCUUGGAUUUAUUGAAGACUAACUACUGACGAAAGCAUUUGCCAAGGAUGUUUUCAUCAAUCAAGAACGAAAGUUAGGGGAUCGAAGACGAUCAGAUACCGUCGUAGUCUUAACCAUAAACCUAUCGCCGACUAGGGAUCGGGAUGGAUGUUAAUUUUAAUGACUCAUUCGG